rnacentral:rRNA from 1 species
UAGGGAAUCUUCCACAAUGGGCGCAAGCCUGAUAGAGCAACACCGCGUGAGUGAAGAAGGGUUUCGGCUCGUAAAGCUCUGUUGUUAAAGAAGAACAUGUAUGAGAGCAACUGUUCAUACGUUGACGGUAUUUAACCAGAAAGUCACGGCUAACUACGUGCCAGCAGCCGCGGUAAUACGUAGGUGGCAAGCGUUAUCCGGAUUUAUUGGGCGUAAAGAGAGUGCAGGCGGUUUUCUAAGUCUGAUGUGAAAGCCUUCGGCUUAACCGGAGAAGUGCAUCGGAAACUGGAUAACUUGAGUGCAGAAGAGGGUAGUGGAACUCCAUGUGUAGCGGUGGAAUGCGUAGAUAUAUGGAAGAACACCAGUGGCGAAGGCGGCUACCUGGUCUGCAACUGACGCUGAGACUCGAAAGCAUGGGUAGCGAACAGGAUUAGAUACCCUGGUAGUCCAUGCCGUAAACGAUGAGUGCUAGGUGUUGGAGGGUUUCCGCCCUUCAGUGCCGGAGCUAACGCAUUAAGCACUCCGCCUGGGGAGUACGACCGCAAGGUUG